GGCUGAGUCAGUUAGGAGAGGCUUCUCUGAGGAGACACUGAGCCUUUGUAAGCACAAGCCAGGAGGAUUUUGGGGUGGCCAUGAGUUUGGAGGUCUAACAAGAAUGACGAUGUAUUUGCAGAUGGCCUCGUGUCUUAAUUGGUAAGUAUGGAUAGGAGAGGUUUUACUGCCUGUUUUGUUCCUUUGGGUCCAUUAUCUUUUAGGUUUGUUUUAGGUUCCAGUCCUGCAUUGGCGCCAGCAGCCUGAACGUUAUUGUCCUGUCUACACUGUCAACGCCUAAGAGGAAGACCGUUUUGUUUUGCUUUUUGUUUUUCUUUUUAUUCCUCAUCAGCACUAGUGGGUGAGGUUUAUUGCCAACACCAGUGUUUAUUUAAUAUGAUUUUAACAUGCCACUGAGUAGCAGGGCUUAGCUAAAGUAGGGAAGUAGGUUUUCAGAUAUAUCAUUAUUUUUCUAACCCAGCUGGGAAGGCAAGUUGGCACCUACGGUAACUGAGAAUUGAGAUGUCAGCAUGCUUAGGAAAUGGUUAGAGCCCGUCUCCAGCACCACCGAGAUCUGUCACUGCUCCCCUCUGCCACCCAACUGUGUCCACAGAAACAGUGGUCAUAGGCUGAGGACAACGUGACUCUCAGCCAGUGGGCAGUUGGCAGAGUAGAGACACCACGGAGGCCCAGAGAGCAGAAACCCCAAUGCAACUGGAAGAGGCGACUCCCACGUGAAGCAGCAAAUGAGUGGGGGCCAUGCGUCUCAGCCGGCGAGACUAGGACCCAGAGGGGUUGACACCGUAUGGGUGUGUGGAGAAGCAGGCACAGGGUGUAAACUGAGUUCUCCUAUAGGUCGGGAGACUUCCAGCUUGGCGUGAGGGCUGAGCUCUCACUUUCUCACCCAGGCUGGCAGCGCAUGAAUGUGGGGCAUGAUUACAGUUGCGUGGUGGAAGGAAAGGGCCUCUGCACCAGGCUCCUCAGUGUGGGAGGAAAACAUGGUGGACACUCGGGCUCCUUUGGCUCAGUUCUGAGCUCCAAAACUUAAGAUAGCCCACUGAAGUAGGAAUUAUUUCCCCUGUUUUGCAAAUAAGAAAAUUGAAGCCAGAGAAGUCGAGGAAUGUUCCCACAGUCACACAACUAGGAACCACCAGCUUCAAGUGAAGUAGUUGUUUCAAUCUAG